rnacentral:rRNA from 1 species
UACGAAGGGGGCGAGCGUUGUUCGGAAUUAUUGGGCGUAAAGCGCUUGUAGGCGGCACGUCAAGUCGCGUGUGAAAUCCCCAGGCUUAACCUGGGAAGUGCGCGCGAAACUGACGAGCUUGAGUGCCGGAGAGGGUCGCGGAAUUCCCGGUGUAGAGGUGAAAUUCGUAGAUAUCGGGAGGAACACCAGUGGCGAAGGCGGCGACCUGGACGGACACUGACGCUGAGACGCGAAAGCGUGGGGAGCAAACAGG